GGCAUGGUGUUGUGGUUUGAGCCUUGGACUAUGAUUCUGGGGGCCAGGGUUCAAAUCCCUGCUGAGCCC